UACGUAGGCAGCGAGCGUUGUUCGGAAUUACUGGGCGUAAAGAGUGUGUAGGCGGUGCUCUAAGUUCGGUGUGAAAUCUCCCGCUUAACUGGGAGGGUGCGCCGGAAACUGGAGUGCUCGAGCGUGGGAGAGGAAAGCGGAAUUCCUGGUGUAGCGGUGAAAUGCGUAGAUAUCAGGAGGAACACCUGUGGCGAAAGCGGCUCACUGGACCAUAACUGACGCUGAUGCACGAAAGCUAGGGGAGCAAACAGG
rnacentral:rRNA from 1 species